ensembl:lncRNA
UACCGGGAUAUAGGUUAAUGAAUAUGGCCUAGGGAAGAUGAGUGGGCUGUCCUGGGGGGCUGUACCGGGAUAUAGGUUAAUGAAUAUAGACUAGGGGAGAUGAGUGGGCUGUCCUGGGGGGCUGUACCGGGAUAUAGGUUAGUGAAUAUAGACUAGUGGAGAUGAGGGGGCUGUCCUGGGGGGCUGUACCGGGAUAUAGGUUAAUGAAUAUAGACUAGUGGAGAUGAGGGGGCUGUCCUGGGGGGCUGUACCGGGAUAUAGUUUAAUGAAUAUAGACUAGUGGAUAUAGGUUAAUGAACAUAGACUAGUGGAUAUAGGUUAAUGAAUAAAGAGUAGUGGAUAUAGGUUAAUGAAUAUAGACUAGUGGAUAUAAGU